rnacentral:lncRNA from 1 species
GCCCUGCUACAACGGCUGAUGUCUGCGGCUGCCAUUAGCAGCAGCAAGAACAGCAGCGGCUGUUUCCGCAGCGCCGCCGUCGCCGCUGCUAUGACCACUGCAGGCGAAGCUGCUGCCAUUGCCAUGUGCACACGUGGUGUACAGUAGCGCAGCUGGUUUGGCGUCUUCAUUCUUCAGACUCCACAGCCAGCCGGAUUGGGAGGAUAGCAGCGGGCAACUCACGCUUGGACGAUCUUACGGAUGGAGAUCCUGAUCCUGACUCAAGGUGUUCUAGGACGGUGCCGCAGCCUUUGGUGCGGGCUCCUCCUCCGCUCCUCCUGGCCUUUCGUGCAGGCGUCUGCGAACGAGAGAGCUCAAGGAAACACCACCUAACUCCCCCACUACCGGUGUGUGUGGCUUUGGGC